rnacentral:rRNA from 2 species
GAUCUGGCCUCAAAUCAGGUAGGACUACCCGCUGAACUUAAGCAUAUCAAUAAGCGGAGGAAAAGAAACUAACAAGGAUUCCCUAGUAACGGCGAGUGAAGCGGGAUGAGCUCAAAUUUAAAAUCUGGCGGCCUCAGGUCGUCCGAGUUGUAGUCUAGAGAAUCGUUUUCCGCGUUGGCCUGUGUACAAGUCCCUUGGAACAGGGCGUCAUAGAGGGUGAGAAUCCCGUCCUUGACACAGACUACCAAUGCUUUGUGAUGCGAUCUCGAAGAGUCGAGUUGUUUGGGAAUGCAGCUCAAAAUGGGUGGUAAAUUCCAUCUAAAGCUAAAUAUUGGCGAGAGACCGAUAGCGAACAAGUACCGUGAGGGAAAGAUGAAAAGCACUUUGGAAAGAGAGUUAAACAGUACGUGAAAUUGUUAAAAGGGAAACGAUUGAAGUCAGUCAUGCUUUCCGAGACUCAGCCGAUUCUGUCGGUGUACUUCUCGGUUGGCAGGCCAGCAUCAGUUUCGAUCUGUGGAAAAGGUUGGAGGGAACGUGGCAUCCUCGGAUGUGUUAUAGCCCUUCUUCGAAUACAUAGAGCGGGACUGAGGAACGCAGCGCGCCUUUUAUUAGGUUGGCCCUCGGGUACAUACGCGCUUAGGAUGCUGGCAUAAUGGCUUUAAACGACCCGUCUUGAA